rnacentral:rRNA from 1 species
AUGUUGUACGUGCUAAUGCGUGUGUUCAUCCUCUGUUGUGUGCAUGCGCCCGAGGAUCUUCCUGGACUUCUUUACGUCUACAGAGGGCCAUUUAUAAAUCCUAAUGUGCAGUUGUUCUUGUGUGUGUGUUUUGUUCUUCAGAGCAUUUUCUUCAGGGUAGUGGAGAGCACCCUCGCCCUUAUCCGAUCUGCAGCACCGCCCAAGUGGUCCCAACUCAACCCCAAGACGUUCAACUACGCAGCCCCGGGCCGUUCAACGACAGAGCCGCUGGAAGUUCAUGAACACAUCACCUGGAUCCUGCUGCCCACCAUCUAG